UACGUAGGGCGCAAGCGUUAUCCGGAAUUAUUGGGCGUAAAGAGCUCGUAGGCGGUUUGUCGCGUCUGCCGUGAAAGUCCGGGGCUCAACUCCGGAUCUGCGGUGGGUACGGGCAGACUAGAGUGCAGUAGGGGAGACUGGAAUUCCUGGUGUAGCGGUGAAAUGCGCAGAUAUCAGGAGGAACACCGAUGGCGAAGGCAGGUCUCUGGGCUGACACUGACGCUCAUGCACGAAAGCGUGGGGAGCAAACAGG
rnacentral:rRNA from 1 species